GGACCCCACUGCUAUCGGGAUGGGACUAAGACAUGCUAGUCAAGCGCCUUCCAGCCAUGUGGGAGGUGCGGCGCACAGCUCAGUAACACGUGGCUAACCUGCCCUUGGGACGGGACCAACCCCGGGAAACUGGGGCUAAUCCCCGAUAGGUGAAGAACUCUGGAAUGAGUCUUCGCCUAAAAGCCGUCAGAUCAUGCUUCUGGCGUCGCCCAAGGAUGGGGCCGCGACCGAUCAGGUUGUUGGUGAGGUAAUGGCCCACCAAGCCUAUAACCGGUGCGGGCCGUGAGAGCGGGAGCCCGGAGAUGGGCACUGAGACAAGGGCCCAGGUCCUACGGGGCGCAGCAGUCGCGAAACCUUUGCAAUACACGCAAGUGUGACAGGGUCAUCCCGAGUGCCGACC
rnacentral:rRNA from 1 species